CACGUAGGGUGCGAGCGUUGUCCGGAAUUAUUGGGCGUAAAGAGCUCGUAGGCGGUGUGUCGCGUCGGCCGUGAAAACCUGCAGCUUAACUGUGGGCUUGCGGUCGAUACGGGCAUCACUGGAGUUCGGCAGGGGGAGACUGGAAUUCCUGGUGUAGCGGUGAAAUGCGCAGAUAUCAGGAGGAACACCGGUGGCGAAGGCGGGUCUCUGGGCCGAUACUGACGCUGAGGAGCGAAAGCGUGGGGAGCGAACAGG
rnacentral:rRNA from 1 species